ensembl:lncRNA
AGUAGCUUUAAUGUUUGCAACCUGGGACCCUUGAGUUAAUUCUUUUUCCUGUUAUAGCUCACCACACCUUUGCUCUGUAGGAAUGCAACUUUAUCUAAUGCUUUUGAGGGUGGCGCUUGACUAAUCACCUUUAGAGAAAAAUAAGUUUUCUGAAGAAAGGGUCUUAAAAUGUUAACAGGCCUCAGGGCCAGAAGAUGAUGCAAAUCACCUAAACUUUUGCAUAUGGUAAGUUUGCGGGAAGAAAGCCUGGCUUACUGCAUGACUCUACCCCUUCCCCCAUUAUCCUCUAUGCAUAACUUAAGGUAUAAAAACUACUUUUGAAAAUAAAGUGCGGGCCUUGUUCACCGAAACUUGGUCUCCCCAUGUCGUUCUUUCUCUCACCUUCUGGCUGAAUUAUUCAGCCUCUUUUCUCCACUGAAUUUCCUCACUGAGCUGUCUUUAUUCUAUUACUCUUUAUAUCCUUAAUUAACGUUUAAUUAAGCAGUUGUUUCCUGAUCCUCGCCGACGCCGUCCCCGCUUCGAAUUCCCUGGAUCCACCGGGGCUGGACCCCGGCACUGGACUGGACCAUGUGAUUCUCAGGCCGUAUCCAGAUAUAUAUGUUCCCAGGGCGUCACUCUGCCCUCUGCCAUCAUCCGUCUUGGGAACCAGAGUUGGACGUCAAUCCCCAUAAGCCACAGGGGGCGGUCUGUGUCUGGGCUGGUCUUUCCACUGGACGGAGCCGAGGGCAGCCUAGCUGUGGACCUUUUCCGGGAGAUCAGUCCCUACUCACCCACUCUCCGCCCCUUCCCAAACCACAAACAUGAGGCAGACAGAGCGAAGAGGAACAGCUAGGAAAAUAGCGCAAAGCUCUCCCACGGGGGCCGGCACGUGAGGGCACAACGUCUUCAGACCUCCCUCUGCUCCUGUAAGGACAUCUGUCUUAGGACUUAGGACCCAACUGAAACCUAGAGCGAUUUCACCUCUUAAAUACAUCUGCAAAGACAUUUUUUCCUGGUUCUGCAAAGCUCCCGUAAUCCACCUUAACGCCUAGAGCAAGAUCCAUGCCCUGUGACUAAGCUUACAACACAUGGGACGAAGGAAAGCUGUGACUUGUCUUGGGGCUGUGGUCCUUGGCCCUGGGAGAGGAGCUGACCCCACGUCUCUCCUCCCUGCCCACACCGACUGCCUUCACUCUGACCCUCUUCACCUCCCUCCUCAAGUUAGGGUCUUGCUGUUGCUGAAAUGAAUCACCACAAACCUCAACAACUUAAAGCAACACACUUUCAUCACCUCACAGUUCCGGAGGUCAAAGUCCUGUGAGUCUCACUGGCGAAGAUCAAGGUGUUAACAGGACUGCAUUCCUUGUGAAGCCUUCAGGGAGAGUGCGUCUCCUCAACCUUAUUUACCUUCUGGAGGUAUGUGUUCUUUGGCUCAUGGCCCCCUUCUUCCCUCCUCCAAGCCAGCGAUGGCCAGCUGCCCCACUCAGACUUUGUCUCUUUCAUCACAUCUCUUCCUCCUCCCUUUCCCCCUUUUAAAGACCCUGGGCUUCCUACAUGGCUCAGUGGUAAAGAAUCUGGCUGCCAAUACAGGAGAUGUGGGUUCGAUCCCUUGGUUGGGAAGAUCCCUUGGAGGAGGAAACAGCAACCCACUCCAGUAUUCUUGUCCAGAGAAUCCCAUGGACAGCCUGGUGGGCUACAGCCCAUAGGGUUGCAAAGAGUCAGACACGACUUAGUGAUGGAGCACCCACGCACUGAUACCUUGGGGGCCCUGGGCAAUGCAAGGUAACCUCUCAUCUCAGGGUCCUCAAUCAAACUUAGAGGACAUGGGCAUCUUUGUGGGGCACUGUUCUGUCUAUAACAUUCUUAGACUAAUGUUUAAACUGAAAGUUGUGACUCAUCAGUGACUCACAGAAUCACCUAAAUGAUUUGGAACCAGCAUUCCCACUCCCCUGCCCACCAGUUUUAUUGAAAAGAGUUGACACACAUCACUAUGUAAGUUUAAGGUGUACUGCAUGAUGGUUUGAUUUACACAUAUGGUCAAAAUGAUUACUAUAAUAUGGAACCAAUAUUUCUAAAUGAAAUCAGAAUACUUUGCUUGUAAUAAGGUUAAGUAUUGUUGCAUGAACAUCAAAUUUUAUAUGUGUGUGUGUGUGUUACUUGGUUAGCAGUAUAAAUAAGAAAUAUAUUUCUACAGUGAAUUUUUAUUUUUUUAAAAAAGGAGAGUGACUACGAAGCCAUCAUGGUAGCCUCCUAAUUGGUCUUUCUGCCUUCAGGCUCUCUAAUCCAUUCUCCACAAGGCUGUCAAAAAGUUCUUCCUAAAAAUAAACUGGACACGUCACUCUGC